rnacentral:rRNA from 1 species
UACGAGGGGGGCGAGCGUUGUUCGGAAUUAUUGGGCGUAAAGGGCGCGUAGGCGGUCGGAUAAGUCUUGUGUGAAAUCUUCGGGCUCAGCUCGAAGUCUGCACAGGAAACUAUCUGGCUUGAGUGUGGGAGAGGUGAGUGGAAUUCCUGGUGUAGCGGUGAAAUGCGUAGAUAUCAGGAGGAACACCUGUGGCGAAAGCGGCUCACUGGACCACAACUGACGCUGAGGCGCGAAAGCUAGGGGAGCAAACAGG